GCGAUGAAUCGCUCAGCAUCGUCGUCACCGUUCUGGAUGCUGUCCGACCCACGAUUCAUCGCAUCUUCUGGGUUUCAUUCCAUCUGCAAAGCUGUUCAUUCGGGACAAGAUGGAGUUUUUCACUUCGUUUUCAGAUGGCUCUGUUGCAUAAAGAACCCAAAGCUAUCAGGUUAUAGACAUUCCAAAUAGAAGCUGCAAUGAGGUUGUUAUGCUGACUGGGUAAGUGGUAAAGCAUUUCUUUUACUGUUGCAGUCUUGGAGUCUACAGAGAAAGAUGGCUCAGUUUAAUGGUAAGUGUUACUGCUCAAUGCAAUACUGGAAGAAAACAAGUUGUGUCCAAACCAUUCAUGUUAUGCGUUCAUGGAUAGUCAUUUCUCUUUAAAAGUUUCGAUGUAUAUUCAAUUGUAUUACUAGCAUUUAUUUCCAAUUGAGUUGCAAUUUUUUAUUGCACUAGGCAUGACUAGGCUUAUGGUAUUUUUUAAAUUUCUCAGUAGUCACUGUAGAUUCCUACGUUUUGAUAUUAUUGUACAUGAACAGUUCCUUUUUGCGUUUUUUCAGUAAUCUUAUUUUGAUGAGAAAAUUGGCAUGCUUAAUCUAAAAAAUCGCUUGGAGGAUGUUUUGUUUGAUGUUAGCUGUGAGGAACUAACUUUUGCCAAGAGUCACUAUAUCUUUACAUAGAGGAGUCUGAAUAGGGAGUCCCAUGGGCAAAAUGUUACUUUCCUAACUAAAGUACGAGCCUUGGACAUCAUCAUACGAGUCGUUAGAUUUAUCCUACUUCUGUCUAGAUCUCGCUUUGCAUUCUUUUUUUCUCCUUGCCCAAUAAAUGUAGGGUUUUUCAUUUUAUCUUAAUUCUUUAUGUGACCCUUUUCUGGUACGGUACUGUCUGCAUCUUUAUUUUGUGCUUGGUACAUUUUUCUUCUUGUUUUCUUCCUUUUAUCCCAGUCUGAGAUUUUUCUUGUCUAAUUCGUUUUCUUUCUAGAAUUCCACCCUUGAAAAAGUAACCUUUUGAUCAUUGUCUGCAUCUCAAUGAUGAAUAGUGCCUUGUAAAAGUUCAGCUUAUACAGGUCAUAGUUCAAUGUAUUGUCUGUGACCAUUGACCAUUACUCGUGCAAAAGCUCAAGGGCUUUAAGCAAAGUGGGUUUAAACCUCCUAACAUCGAUUGUGACAUUCUGCUUGUCUAAGUAACCCAACUUAAAAGCUUCUAAGUUACAUCUAUGAAAUAAAUAUGGAUUCUUCAAGGCCAUAUGGUCUAGUGGGAAUUGCUCUAUCAAAGUGCUCUCUUUUGUCCCUAUCUUAUACUCUAGAUACCUUAUGUUCAUUUCCUUUGAGGGCACUCCAAAGUAUGUUUUCGCAACCAGUUCUACACCGCCUAAAGGAACUACUUGUAUCAUAACCGCACCCUCAGGAAGGAAGAGAACAUUAGUAAGUCCAGCUCCAUGUAUUCCCAUCACCACAUCACAAGAAUUCAUUAUCUCUGCAAAUCUAGCCACGUGUAUGUCCGCCUCAGCAACAAUCACUUCAAACCCCAUACUUUCUGCUGUCUCCGCAAUAUUUGUAGAAUUAGUGAAUGAUCGAGUCCUUUUCCUCGAUAUUACCAAAAGACGGGGCUUUCUAGUGUCGCCAGGUCUUAGUCUAACCGCAUUUCUCCUUUUCAGUGAGUAGGUGUUUCUCAAAAACUCUCUGAAGUCUCUCAUCGUGUAGGGUGACUUGGAAGGAUCUAUAUUUAGCUCUCCAUGACGCUGAAGACCCAUGAGGAUGCUUGGAAAGCAAUGAACAUCUUCUUCUUGGUCGAUAUUGAUAAUUGGAUAGUAAGAAAGAUUUUGUAAAAUUGCUUGGAACUUCGUGACCCACCAAGAGCGGCAAUCAGAAAUGAGGAACUGCACUUUUCCAUUAAAGGGCCUGGACGUCAAGUACAAUGGAAUUAUGAUAUCACUGAAGUCAUGGAAAUGGUUUCCUGCAUAUCCUCCUGUGGAGAAGAGAAUGGAUGCGAUGGUAUGAUUUUGGGUGCACUGAGGAACUUGUACAUCCGAAAAUGCUGGUAUUAUUGACCAUUCUCUGACGUGAUUCAUUGCUUGUAAGUCUUUAUUUCUUGCAUAUGGUCUUAUUUUCCAGGAAUUGUAUCCUCCAAACAAAUUUCUUUUUUCGGGGGAAGAGAUGAAAACUGUGGAGGACUUGGCAUUGAUCCUCACUUCACCAGUUAUGUUGUAUAACUCUGAUCUUAGGUCCAUAACAUGGCACGGUGGCUCUCUUUGCUUCAUUGCAUUUUCCGCCACUACAAGAUUAUUAGUGAAAAAAUGAGAACCCCUCCAAACAAGACAAAGCCUGAUCAAGGGAGAAAAACGCUUGCCAUGUACAUUUAGUAUGAUUACGUACUCAGCUGAUUGGUCAUUGAAGAUGUUUUACUCUGGAAAACAGUGGAAUUGCAUCGUUGCUCCUGUUUAGCCAUAAUGUUUUCUACAACUGCAAGAGGUAUGGACACAUUUAAUGACCCUUUCCAAUUGACAACUGCAGAAUCACAGGAAAAGCAAGUAAAGUUCAUGUAUCCUAAAUGAUUGCUUCAGAAAAUUUGCCAAACACUGAGAAUGCGGCAUCUAAUUGUACAUCAUCUACUGGAGCAUGGGGUCAGAAUUAUGGCAUGUUAGGAGACUUAGGUUGAGAACUUAAGACGUUGGCUUGUGACUGUUUCAGUUCUUGCAAGAAACAAGGUGGGGAUUACUCACGCGUCAGUGAAGGACCCAGGUAAGGCCUGAACCUGAAGACAGCGCAGAAGCUCAACACAAGGAAUGAGCAAGCGACAAAUGCUCCAUACACCAACUUCUUCCGCUUGAACCUGCCAAAGCUUUUCGCAAUGAUCGCACCGUGCAUCAUCUCGGCUUGGACUAAGUAGCAAACGCCAGAGAGUAGAAACGUCUGAUCAUGUGUUUGAUUGUAUGAAACCCUCUUCUCAAGGAGAGGCCGGUUUCUCAAAUAUGAUGACCAUGAAGCAGGCCUUAAGAUGCCAUUUAUGUAGGCGGAGUUGAAGUUGAAUUGUUCUUUCUAGGUGAUGACUUGUUGCUCUUCACGUCCUUAAACUCUCUAUGGUUGUAUAGUCGAUUAUUAUUUUCUGAUAAUGAUGGUUGAGAGGGACAUAUC